rnacentral:rRNA from 1 species
ACUAACAAGGAUUCCCCUAGUAACGGCGAGUGAAGCGGGAAGAGCUCAAAUUUGAAAUCUAGUAGCCUUCGGCUGCUCGAGUUGUAAUCUAGAGAAGUGUUUUCCGUGCCGGCCCAUGUACAAGUCCCUUGGAACAGGGCGUCAUAGAGGGUGAGAAUCCCGUCCUUGACAUGGACCCCCGGUGCUCUGUGAUACACUUUCAACGAGUCGAGUUGUUUGGGAAUGCAGCUCAAAAUGGGUGGUGAAUUCCAUCUAAAGCUAAAUAUUGGCGAGAGACCGAUAGCGAACAAGUACCGUGAGGGAAAGAUGAAAAGCACUUUGGAAAGAGAGUUAAACAGUACGUGAAAUUGUUGAAAGGGAAACGAUUGAAGUCAGUCAUGCUCUUUGGUAUUUAUAUCAUUGAGUGGGGUCAACAUCAGUUUUGAUCGAUGGAUAAAGGCACUAGGAAGGUAGCACUCUCGGGUGAACUUAUAGCCUAGCGUCAUAUACAUUGAUUGGGACUGAGGAACGCAGCAUGCCUUUAUGGCCGGGAUUCGUCCACGUACAUGCUUAGGAUGUUGACAUAAUGGCUUUAAACGC